rnacentral:rRNA from 1 species
UACGUAGGGUGCAAGCGUUAAUCGGAAUUACUGGGCGUAAAGCGUGCGCAGGCGGUUUUGUAAGACAGGCGUGAAAUCCCCGGGCUUAACCUGGGAAUGGCGCUUGUGACUGCAAAGCUGGAGUGCGGCAGAGGGGGAUGGAAUUCCGCGUGUAGCAGUGAAAUGCGUAGAUAUGCGUAGGAACACCGAUGGCGAAGGCAAUCCCCUGGGCCUGCACUGACGCUCAUGCACGAAAGCGUGGGGAGCAAACAGG